ensembl:miRNA
GGGGCUAAAAUCAUCGUCAGCUGGCUCCUUCUGUGGCAUUGGCUUCAGCCUGCUGACAUGGUGCUGUCGUAUAGCUGUGAGCACGCUGAUGUCUGCUGCAGAGGCCUGCCCAGACCUCCUGACUGAAAUCGUCCCUGUC